rnacentral:misc_RNA from 1 species
GAUGAAGAACGCAGCGAAAUGCGAUACGUAAUGUGAAUUGCAGAAUUCAGUGAAUCAUCGAAUCUUUGAACGCACAUUGCGCCUGCCAGCACUCUGGCAGGCAUGCCUGUUCGAGCGUCAUUUCAACCAUCAAGCCCUAGGCUUGCGUUGGAGCCCUGCGGCUGCCGCAGGCCCCUAAAAGCAGUGGCGGGCUCGCUAUCACACCGAGUGCAGUAGAUUACUCUUCGCUCAGGGCGUGUGGCGGGCUCCAGCCGUGAAACCCCCUACUUCUCAAGGUUGACCUCGGAUCAGGUAGGAAUACCCGCUGAACUUAAGCAUAUCAAUAAGCGGAGGA